GUGCUCACUUCAACAGCACACAUACUAAAGUUGGAACAAUCCUUAAGAAGAUUAGCAUGGCCCCUGCACAAGGAUGACACACAAAUUCAUGAAGUUGUCCAUAUUUCU